AAAUCCCACAAAACUCUUUCUCUCUCACAUAUCAUCGUAGCAGAGGACGACGAACCCUAAAAUUGAUCCUCGCCGCCCGCCUCCCACCGCCACCACCACCUCUAGUCGUCGACCUUCCAUCCUAUCGUCAUCAAACAUCACCGCUCCUUCGAAGAUUAUUCUCCUUCCGAUUUGGGCCCUCAAUCGAUUUUCACUCACACACAAUAAUCAAUCAGGCAGAACGUCGAUCAUAUGCGUCCAGGCCCUGGUUCUUUCUUCAUCAUCACAGUAGUCAACAGAGGAGUGUAAGGUCGAAAUCGAGUGAGUAAACAAGCCGAUAUCAUCAUCAUCAUCAACGCAGGAGGACAUCAUCAUCAUUAAGGGUUGUAAUGAUUUCAGUUUCUUUUCAAGUCGAAACAUUAAGGUUGCAAUGCCUGUUGGGAACUAUACUACAUCGAGCAUGAAAUUCAGGUACUAGUCUAUUUCUAACUAGAACUACAGUUUUGAUGUGUUAUUUGAAUGGACUAUAACUAUACACCGUCAUUAUUAGAUGUGUCAUUAGUUUUUUCACUGCUU